rnacentral:lncRNA from 13 species
AUGGAACAUUUCUGGGAUCUUUUGUUUCAGCUCAUGAACCAUUGGACCAACACUUUACAUGUUGCGUUUAUAUAUUUUUUUCAUUAUAUAUUCGUCUUUUAUCAGACGCUCUUAUCCAGAGCAACUUACAGUAGUGAGUGCAGACAUUUUCAUACUUGUUUUCGUACUUGGUUAGCUUGUUCUGCUUCUAAUUUGAAUUGUUCUUUCUCCUCUGUUCUACUCUUAGAGAGCCAGAGUACUACGACUACGGACAUGGAGAAACACAGGAAGCAUACGAACCCUAUGCCCAGGACGACUGGAACGGGACCCAGAGAGUGGCGCCGGGGGGUAAGGCCCCCNNNNNNNNNNGGGGGAGGGCAGGCUGCCAAGAGGACCAGAGAACAGAAGGAGCCUACUAGGGAGCGAGAAGGCACCGGUGGAACAAGAGGGGUGGAUUCUAGCUACAGGCUCUGUAUGAGGGGGAAAAUAGUCAGGCUCAAAUGACAGGAAUGUGGACUGUGACACUAGCUGUGAGACUGUGAGACUGUGACACUAGCCGUGAGACACUGACACUAGCCGUGAGACACUGACACUAGCCGUGAGACACUGACACUGGCCGUGAGACACUGACACUGGCCGUGAGACACUGACACUGGCCGUGAGACUGUGACACUGGCCGUGAGACUGUGACACUGGCCGUGAGACUG